UUGAGAUGUUUGUCAGAACCAAGCACAAGAUUGACAAGAGACAUGAACUUGCCCUUGUGGUUGCCAACAAUGAGGCAGUGUGGGAUAUUUUUGGUUUCUUCAGCAGUCUGGAUUCCAAAGGGACCAGCUAUAAAUAUGAAGUCUCAAUAACAGGUCCAUCUCUGGAACUCCAUAACUGUAUGGUCCGGCUUCUUGCUCACCCACUCCAGAGACCAGAGCCUGAGAGCGAAGUUUGAAGGAAGCGAUAUCCAUUAAUAAAUAAAAUAUAGCUCAAUAUUUCAUCCCUCAAACUCAUGCCGUGUAUAUAGUAGUGUGCUUAUGAUUUUGUUAAAUAAACGAAAAGAUGAAAAUGA